UUGAACGCUGGCGGCAGGCCUAACACAUGCAAGUCGAGCGGAUGAAGGGAGCUUGCUCCUGGAUUCAGCGGCGGACGGGCGAGUAAUGCCUAGGAAUCUGCCUGGUAGUGGGGGAUAACGUCCGGAAACGGGCGCUAAUACCGCAUACGUCCUGAGGGAGAAAGUGGGGGAUCUUCGGACCUCACGCUAUCGGAUGAGCCUAGGUCGGAUUAGCUAGUUGGUGGGGUAAAGGCCUACCAAGGCGACGAUCCGUAACUGGUCUGAGAGGAUGAUCAGUCACACUGGAACUGAGACACGGUCCAGACUCCUACGGGAGGCAGCAGUGGGGAAUAUUGGACAAUGGGCGAAAGCCUGAUCCAGCCAUGCCGCGUGUGUGAAGAAGGUCUUCGGAUUGUAAAGCACUUUAAGUUGGGAGGAAGGGCAGUAAGUUAAUACCUUGCUGUUUUGACGUUACCAACAGAAUAAGCACCGGCUAACUUCGUG
rnacentral:rRNA from 1 species